ACGCUGGCGGCACGCCUUAUACAUGCAAGUCGAACGAAGUAGCAAUACUUAGUGGCAGACGGGUGAGGAACAUGUAGGUAUCUACCCUUUGGCCUGGAAUAACACGAGGAAACUUGUGCUAAUACCGGAUAAGUCUUUACGGAGAAAGCUUUAUGCACCAUUGGAUGAGCCUGCACUUGAUUAGUUUGUUGGUGGGGUAAUGGCCUACCAAGACAAUGAUCAAUAGCUGAUUUGAGAGGAUGAUCAGCCACAUUGGGACUGAGACACGGCCCAAACUCCUACGGGAGGCAGCAGUAGGGAAUCUUGCACAAUGGAGGAAACUCUGAUGCAGCGAUGCCGCGUGAGUGAAGAAGGCCUUUGGGUUGUAAAGCUCUUUCGUCGGGGAAGAAAAUGACUGUACCCGAAUAAGAAGGUCCGGCUAACUUCGUGCCAGCAGCCGCGGUAAUACGAAGGGACCUAGCGUAGUUCGGAAUUACUGGGCUUAAAGAGUUCGUAGGUGGUUAAAAAAGUUGGUGGUGAAAUCCCAGAGCUUAACUCUGGAACUGCCAUCAAAACUUUUUAGCUAGAGUAUGAUAGAGGAAAGCAGAAUUUCUAGUGUAGAGGUGAAAUUCGUAGAUAUUAGAAAGAAUACCGAUUGCGAAGGCAGCUUUCUGGAUCAUUACUGACACUGAGGAACGAAAGCAUGGGUAGCGAAGAGGAUUAGAUACCCUCGUAGUCCAUGCCGUAAACGAUGUGUGUUAGACGUUGGAAAUUUAUUUUCAGUGUCGCAGCGAAAGCGAUAAACACACCGCCUGGGGAGUACGACCGCAAGGUUAAAACUCAAAUGAAUUGACGGGGACCCGCACAAGUAGUGGAGCAUGUGGUUUAAUUCGAAGAUACGCGCAGAACCUUACCAACACUUGACAUGUUCGUCGCGACUCUAAGAGAUUAGAGUUUUCGGUUCGGCCGGACGAAACACAGGUGCUGCAUGGCUGUCGUCAGCUCGUGUCGUGAGAUGUUGGGUUAAGUCCCGCAACGAGCGCAACCCUUACUUUUAGUUGCCAUCAUUUAGUUGGGCACUCUGAAAGAACUGCCAGUGAUAAGCUGGAGGAAGGUGGGGAUGACGUCAAGUCCUCAUGGCCCUUAUGUGUUGGGCUACACACGUGCUACAAUGGUAUCUACAACAGGAAGCAAGAUGGCAACAUUAAGCAAAUCCCAAAAAGAUACCUCAGUUCGGAUUGCACUCUGCAACUCGAGUGCAUGAAGCUGGAAUUACUAGUAAUCGUGGAUCAGCGUGCCACGGUGAAUACGUUCCCGGGUCUUGUACACACCGC
rnacentral:rRNA from 1 species